CCGUUGUUGGUCGAGUCGAGGAGGUCGAGCUCAUAUACGGGCUUCUGCCAGUACAGAGGCCGCGCUGUGCCUGCGCAGUAAUCACAGAUCAGACACAAUGACACUCGUGUGUUACCGAUUCUGCGUUUGAUCGAAGGUGAUGCCUUUCCGUAACAGAGGGACCUGGACUGGACCACCGGAACCGAGAUAGUGCAGAGUGAAGGAGUCUGGGAGAACAGACGAGAGCAGGGGGCAGUAGCUCACCUCAGGAACAGUCCACCAUCCUUCUGAGCUUCUGGUCCCUCCAGUUCCAGUCCAGAACCACGUAUCUCAACGCCUGCAAGCUCAAGCCCUCUGGACAAAAAAAACAAGAGUUUCCAA